ensembl:lncRNA
GUAUGUUUCUGGGGAAGACUGGAAAUACUUUUAACCUUCUCCUCACGGAAUGUAUGAAGGCUGCUCCGAAAGUAAUGCCUCCUAUUUAUUCCCAUGGAAACUGCAACAGUUACAAAGAGUACAAUAACACCGUUUGAUAGAACAAAUUCUCAGCUACAAAGCACUAUUUUUCAACAUGGUCGCCAUCAUUAGCUAUGCAUUUUCAUCCGUGAUGCACAAGAGCCUGUCCAGAACAUAGCUUAUCUUUCACGUUGCUGUUGAAAUGCACCACGCACCCACUCACUGUUCUCACAUCCACUGUUUUGUCUCCAUAAAUGUUCAGCAAGCGUCCAUGAAUGUCAGUGGGUGCCAUUUUUUCUGCGUGGAGAAAUCUGAUGAGACACCUUUCUUUCAUCCACCCUGCCUUGUCACAGACCAUUGUGUACGACUGUCCCUCUGCUGCCAUCUGUCACAUGGCAAUAACAUGUAACAGAAUAUUGGUAGGAAGGUUCAACCUCCACUGCCGUACCACCAGCAUCCACCUCUGAUAUUGUGGGCCAACAUAAUAAAAUAGGAGGCAUUACUUUUGGAGCAGGCCUUGCAUUUAGGGAGACAUUCCUCAAGGACCAGUUUGACAUGGAUGCGUGAGGCAGGAAUUCAUGAAUUUCACCGUGUCGAACAUCCAGGUCUUGGUGCCUGUGAGAUGAGUUUUCUCUUCUAAACAGUGGAAGUUAUCUCCUCUCCGCCUUCUUUCUGCCUGCCUUUCAUCCCAGCAAGGCAGGAAACUGGCUUUGCUAAUUCUUUAGAGAUCUCUGUGGCUUCCUAUCACUUACCUACCAGGUCUUUCUCCAGUAAUCUAUGAAGUCUUCUGUGAUGACAAGUGAGAAAUCUGGUGAUUGCUGCACAUCAGGUAUCAGUCGUGGAAGGCACACUCUGGUCUGGGAGCUGGAGGCAGGAAGCUCCUUGGCCUGUAAUCCUACAUUUCUACUUUAACAGCACAUACAAUUUGAGAUAGCUGUGAGCAAACGAAGCUGAAGGUUGGAAUUCAUGAAAAGAGAAGCGUUGUUUUUGCUAAUUGGCUAACAUCUGAAGGGUUUGGCAAUGUGAUUACCAGCUGCUAUAGUCUGCAAUUGAUGUCACCUUCUCUUUGUAUAUAAACAUUAGUCAUUUGCUAAAGAAUGUGAAAAACAGGUGUUCCCUGUUCAUUGGAAACCUAUUCUUUUAAUGGGAUACUAUAAGAUAGCACCUGACAUAGAACAAUCCCUCGUAUGUUUGCUGUUAUUAACAUAAACACACUUGAACAGUUCCUUAUGCGGUGCCAUUGGUAUGCGUAGCACAGCAAAGAUAAACAAAAUGACAGAUGCCUAAACCAGAUGAAACUACAAUUAACCUAAUGACAGACAAAAAUAAAGGAAGUGUGGCAGGAAAAUGUGAAGGAACAUAAAAAUCACUGCAAGCUGCACUCGUUAGCUUUGUUUUUUUCUUUUUAAAGAAGUACUUCUACAGUUUGUAGCCAAUACAGGAAGUGAAGGUUGAAGCUGUAACCUUGCAGAGGGAAAUUUGGCUUCCAGACGUGACUCUUUGAAAAGGUUUUGGAAUACAGGAGUGCUCUGCAUACAGGAUGAGAAAAGACAUUGAAGAAUAAGCAGUAUGCAUGGAAAAUAACCCACAGUGAUUAGCGGAAAAAGGGAAUAAAGCUAUGUCCCAUAGGCGUGCCCUCUGGAGAGCUUCAACUCAACCUUCUUAUCAGCUGUAGAGCGCAGCAGGAAAAUUGGUACUGUGGCUCUGUAUGCACUCAAACUGGUUUCCCCUGGCAAUCCUGGCAUUGGAUCUUGUGAAGGAAACACCUGGCCCUUGGACUACACAAAGUCUAACAUCAGAGGCGCCAAUCAGCACUGUGAUGUUAUGCAUUCCAAAAGCUGAAAGCGUCUGGCGAAUGAAGCAAGAAACUGCACAAAGGGAAAGUCUGGUGAUUCAGUCAGCUGCUCCAUGCCCAGAGAAGUGGCCUACGGCCCUGCCCUUCCCACAGCACUCUCCAUUCCUCAUGCUGGUGGCCAGCCAUCUACUACAGACAUUACUGAAGAGCAGUACUUGCAUCGUCGCCUUUAGGCAACUGAAAAGUAUGACUGACAUAAAAAUCCAGAGCUUUCAAAUCCAGAGGCCCUCAUUGCUGGUAGAAACAAGAGAGGGAAAUAUAUUCAUAUUCUAGACAGGCACUAGAGAGAGGUUCUCUGCUUAAAACUGGACUAAAUCUCCAGCUUCAUACGUCAACAUGAAGGGAGGAGUAACUCAGCACUGCUCUCUCCAGCAUCACAAGGCUCUGAAGGUACUGCCUCUGACAGACUUUUUUUCUCUGAGUGGAUGAGUUAUUGAUCAAGUAAGAGAUAAAAAAAAUAGGCACUUACUUUGUGCCACAUUGCUCUGGUCAGUGAUAGAAGCUCACUGCUGGAUACCGAUCUUAAUACAAUCUCAUGAACUCAGCAGAUCCUUUUCCUUAGUCUGCACUAAUGUCAUAUUAAGUGUCUUUGUGUUUUUUACCAUAUUAAGCAUUUCUGAAACUUGAAGAUUGAUUUUGGUUUGAUUUUAAAGGGCUGAGAGAUUUUAGAAUUAGAUUUUAAUAGCCAAUUAUAGAUUAUUAAACAGUGGAAAAAAUUUAAA